rnacentral:lncRNA from 1 species
CCAAAUCCAGCACACGCCCGGACCAGCUCUCGUUAAAUCCUGGUCGCGGACUAGAUUCCCCCUUUCCUAAAUUAAACUAAUCAACCCCCCCCCCCCAAAGAAAACCCAGCCAUUCUAACUCAAACAGCGGCUCUAUAAUCUCUCUCCUCUCUCAAAUACUCUCAAACCUAACCCUAAUCGGACCUCGCUGUCACUCAUAUAUGGCUAUCUAUGGUGGUUCUUACCACCCCUCAGGCCUCUAGUAACUUCUAUCAUGUUGGUAUUGCAAUCUCCAGGGUCCUCGAGGGACCAGAGUUAGUUGGCUUGCAUCUAUUGCCCUUUCUCUCCUGUUUCAGGCUAUUUCGAUGUGGUUCCGAGUAAGAUCUUCCUAUGUCAUCUUGAAUCUAGAGGUUUUUACGCUUGCUUCUUCAUUUCUGUAGUUGUUCUCUUCGAAAUCCUAAUGUUUUCUUCUAAUCCUCUUAGAUCUGUACAGAUCUGAGGUGAUUUGGACUUAUUUCAUAUGAUUUUUACAAUAACCUUGUGAUUUUUACAAGAAUCGUCUAACUUUUGAAUGAUUUUUAUUUUUUCUAAACUAGGGUUUCCGGAAAUUUCUUUUUUUUUUUCAAAACAUUUGAUAAUUUUUAGUGUUUAAUCUUCUGUUUCCAAUAUGUUUUAAUCGAUUUCGUUAGGUUUUAUCUUACCUUAUCUCGUUUAUACUAAAAUCCCCUAAUUGUUUUGAUAUUCUUUGUUUUGUUUCUGAGUACUGGUGUACUGACUAUGUUCUUGCCUUGGUUCUUGUGAUUUCUCUUUAGCCUUUUGAAUGUCUCAUAGUUUUUUGUCCUAAUAUGCCUCUACUGAAUUUCUUAGCUUGACCUUUCACUGAUUCUAUAUGUCUGUGUUCAUCCUGAUUAUUCAUGUUAAGACCUAUAUCUUUCUCCUUGAAUCAGUGUCAAUUUAACUAUUUGUUUCAUUACAAUUAUGUGUCGAAUCCUGACUAUUCAUUUCUUACCUUAUUUUAUCUGCUAGACUUGCUAACUCUUUACGUGAUUUUCACUUUGAUUGAGCGCUUGAUUAUUCAGAAGUCCUUAUUUCUUGAUUUGAUUUGAAUCCCUUUCCUUAACAAAACUUUUGAUUCUUAUCUCUCUACUCAGUUUAAUUGAACUACUUGCCUUAAUUAAUUUUCGCUUGCCUUAUUUGUUAUUUUGCUGAUUCUUACUGAUUGUUUCCUUAACUGAAAUCCUUGUGCAUUCACCCCUAAUUACCUACUCUGUACUUGAUUUCCUUCCUUAAGUAUUUGUCUUGCUUUUACCAUUAAUUAUCCCUUGAUAAAAUGGAGGACUUAUUAAUUUUACAUGUGAUUGAUUCCCUGAAUUUCUCUAAUUGCUACUUAAUUGAUCCCUUAUCUUAUUUUGCUAAGCUUUUUAUUACUAUAUAAAAUCACUCCUAUUCUCACUUCAGAGAUGAAUAUUAGUAUACAAAAGCACACUUACACUCUAGAGCUCUCUUUUCUUCUCAGCUACUUGUGAAACUUACUGAUCUAGCCAGCUGAAAGUCAAGGCUAGAUAUUGGAACUAUAUCUGCUUUGUAUUUUGCACUCUUUUCUUCAACUGGUAUGUCUCUAGUUAAAUUUUGAAACCCAAGCCCUAUGUGUUUCAUCCCUGCACUAGUUCAACAACUAUGAAUUCAACAAGUCUUCCUGCUUACUCUUUAUCUAGCAUGUCUAACCUCUGUCCUGUACAAUGUAUGAUUACCAUGCCUACACUUCACCUAGUUAUCUGAUACCUCACCAGCCUGUUUGUGAAUAUCUGUUUAAUCACUUAAUUAUGUGAUCAUUUGAUGUAUGUGGUUGACCCUGCCUCUAUAUUUAAUCCUUUUCAAGAUAUGUCAAGUUUUCUAUAUUACAUUUAUGAGAUCUAUCUUAACCAUUUACUAACCAUGACUAGCCUGCUAAGUCUUUAAGACCCUAAGUGUUUUAUGCAGUUGUUGACUACAUGUUUUCCUUGUACCCUAUCCAUGUACCCUCCGAUAUGACUCUUAUGUGCCCCGAUCCUUUUAUCCCUAUGUGAGAUCUAUUUGUUGAGCGUUUCUGAAUCUGGAUAUUUUAUGGCCAGUUGAUUGUCUGCUAUUUUCAAAAGAGUUUUAGUACUCUUCUCAAACUGUCUUUUACCACCAAACUAUUUUUGAUUUCAGGAAACCUUUUCACUCCUAGAAGUCAUCUUUGUACAAUUUUCAAAACCUUUUCAAAACUAUGUCAAGCACUCUCACUUUACUCUUAGAUAACUAGGUUCUGCCCCUAUGAUAUGUGUACUUCCUUGAGACCCUUGAGAUAUCUCCGAACUUUGGCAUAUCAGGGCUAGCACUUCCAUACUGCACAAUAAUCAGUUAAUAUUUGAGGAAAGUCUGGGUGUGAACACUGUUCGAAAUCCUUGAGGUCUUUAGGAAACUCUAACACACAUGGACAUGAAAUUGGCUAUGUAACUUUGGCAUGUGAGACUACAACAGGCUUGGAAAUCAUUUGGGC